rnacentral:rRNA from 1 species
CCUGCGGAGGGAUCAUUACCGAGUUCAUGCCCUUACGGGUAGACCUCCCACCCUAUGUUAUAUUACCUUUGUUGCUUUGGCGGGCCGCCCGGCUUCGGCCAGGCUACCGGCUCCAGCUGGUAAGCGCUCGCCAGAGGACCCUCAACUCUGAAUAUCAGUGUCGUCCGAGUACUAUAAAAUAGUUAAAACUUUCAACAACGGAUCUCUUGGUUCUGGCAUCGAUGAAGAACGCAGCGAAAUGCGAUAAGUAAUGUGAAUUGCAGAAUUCAGUGAAUCAUCGAAUCUUUGAACGCACAUUGCGCCCCUUGGUAUUCCGAGGGGCAUGCCUGUUCGAGCGUCAUUACAACCCUCAAGCACUGCUUGGUAUUGGGCUCCGCUGGCUCCAGCGGGCCUUAAAAUCAGUGGCGGCGCCGUUUGGGCUCUGAGCGUAGUAAAUAUCCUCGCUAUAGAGACCAGGCGGUUCUUGUCAUCAACCCCCAACUUUCUAAGUUUGACCUCGGAUCAGGUAGGGAUACCCGCUGAACUUAAGCAUAUCAAA